CCUUCCCCCUCCCUCCCAGAUCUGGCCGGAGGAGGGAGGGGGGAGGCCGGCGGGGGCAGCGGUGGCGGCUACGGCGCGGGGCAGCGGCGGCGACGACGGCGUGGGGUGGCGGCGACGACGACGUGCAGGGCCGCGGCGGCGGCCUCCCUUCACCCCCUCCCUCCCAGAUCUGGCCAGAGGAGGGAGGGGGGAGGCCGGCG
rnacentral:misc_RNA from 1 species